rnacentral:rRNA from 1 species
GAUGAACGCUGGCGGCGUGCUUAACACAUGCAAGUCGAACGGAGAAAGGGUAGCUUGCUAUCUUUUCUUAGUGGCGGACGGGUGAGUAACGCGUGGGUAACCUGCCCUUUGCAGGGGGAUAACAGUGAGAAAUCACUGCUAAUACCGCAUACCAACUUCUUUCGCAUGAAGGAAGUUUGAAAGAUUUAUCGGCAAAGGAUGGACCCGCGUUGGAUUAGCUAGUUGGUGAGAUAACAGCCCACCAAGGCAACGAUCCAUAGCCGGCCUGAGAGGGUGAACGGCCACACUGGGACUGAGACACGGCCCAGACUCCUACGGGAGGCAGCAGUGGGGAAUAUUGCACAAUGGGCGAAAGCCUGAUGCAGCGACGCCGCGUGAAGGAUGAAGGUCUUCGGAUUGUAAACUUCUAUCAGCAGGGAAGAAAGGGCCUAUGGCCUAUGACGGUACCUGACUAAGAAGCCCCGGUAACUACGUGCCAGCAGCCGCGGUAAU